rnacentral:lncRNA from 1 species
AUGAGAGGAACUCCUGUCUUUGUCUCCUUUCCAAUUCUAUUGCAGGGUGUGCUGGGUGCAUCACGUAACUGGGAUGUGGGUGUAUCCUUUCCUGGAACACAUUGGCCCAGGAGCCAGAAUCAUCUUCUUUGGGUCUACAACCAUCUUAAUGAACUUUUUGUACCUGCUGGGAGAAGUUCUGAACAGCUAUAUCUGGGAUACACAGAGAACUGCCCAUCCAGCUCAUGGCCCACCCAGGCCCACCCAGGCCUGCAGUGUCCCAGCACUGCCUCUGGUUGAGCUCUUCUCCCAGCCUAGGGGAAUCACAUGUGACUAACUCUCUCAGGGUCAAUCAGCUCUUCCUCCAGGUUCCCAAAAGCACGUCCUGCCUUAGCUUUGUGACAGGUUUCUUUCUGCUAUUUGUGUGGAAAUUAUACCUCUGCUUCUUCCAAAUAUUAUUUACAGCUGUCUAAUUUUUUCCCUCUACCUCAAAGCUGCCAAACUAAAGUAGGUGGGGAGCCAUUUUUCCUGUCUGGGUCAAUGAACACCCCCUGUUCUCCACCCCCGCUUUUGAAGAUUCCACUGUCGCUGCCAAGUCAACCCAUCUGCAGGAGAACACUUAGGAGGAAACAGACUUUAAGGAAAAGCAAGCAGUUAUUAGUUCCUGAGAGCUUCUCCACAGGAGAGGGAACAUGGGACAAAGCUGGGACCCAAGUCAUGUGUGCUGCUUGAAAGGAAUCCCUGUUGUGUUUUUCUGCCUUUGCCUUGUUACCAACAACUAAGGCAUCUCCUGGCUUCUCCCCCUUAACCCUAUUCCUCCUCCCUUCAGAUGUCCUUAGUCCUCAAUCUGAAGUUUUCCUUAAUAUGAUUUCUGAGAAGCACUUUGGAAGAAGUGUUACAGAUCUGUGCCAGUUCCUUAGUCAUGAAAACCAAACCUGAAAGACUGUCUAAGGACACCUGUUCAGAGCAUGUUACCCACAUUCCCACCACCACCGCCCUGGCCCCACAAAACAAAUACCGGGAGCUGGGUGCUGAGGGGAAGGGGAAUCCUCCCUAGUAUGAGCCCUGUGAGAGUAACCCUCUGGGAUGAGGCUUUACAUUUUUUUAUAUUGUGAAGUUCCUUAUUUUAUUCUGCUUUCCCACUAGCAUAGCCUUCUGAGGCCUUCCUCGUUUUCAUUGUUUAUAAACUGAUUCCAUAAUGAUUAAAUGAGCUCCUACUGUCAGUCAGGCACUGUGUUAGGUGCUAGGGAUAUUAUCAGAAACAAAACAGUUAAGGGCUCUGCCUUCAGAGAGCUUACGACUUGUAAAAGAAUACCAAUAAAAGCUGCAAAGCAAUAUGUGGGGUUCUUUUG